rnacentral:lncRNA from 1 species
ACCACCCUAUCCUCUUCGACGUUGUCGCUGAUCUAUAGCCUCUCUCUCACCUCGUCGUCCAUCAUCGCAGCCACCUCGUUUUCAAGAUCCCCUUCUCCGGUGACCUUGCACGCACCUCCGACGAUCUCGUUCCUGCCAACCGCACCAGCAGCAAACUUCUCUCCGAAUUCGUUGCUCAAUCCUCUCCAUGGAUCAAGCACAAUGGCUUCACCCCCCCCCCCUCCCUACCAUCCUCAAUUCCUCAUCUACCUCGUGCCGAACAUGCAAUCCACGAUCAACGUUGCAAAGCCACCACUACGCCGAGAUCCGAUCCCAUUAGGUGGAUGAGCCCGCGAUCUACAACACAUUUGUUGCCUCACCAACUUGCCCGAAGGUUUGAACCGUCAUCUGAUGAACCAAUUGUGGCAUCCAAUCCGAGCCUUUUCUCCUCUUUGAAAUUCCUUCUCUGAAUCAAAGGUAUUGCAUUGUGUGAAUCACCGACUGUUCCAUCAUCUAUCUCCACAUACUAAUAAUUAUCAAUUUGAUGUUUCCAUUAUCCAUGCUUCAUAUAGGCAUCAUAUAUGUGCUUGGAUAGUGCAGUUCGUUUGCAUCGAUGUACGAAAUUUGUUUGUAGAUCACAAAAUGAUUCAGGUACGCACAUGUUAAAGAUAUUCGGUGCUCGUUUCGAGUUACAAUAUUUUAUGCUUCCGCUAGGUAUGAGUUAUGUUGAGAUAAUAUGUAAUUGAUGCUUCCUAAUGUCCAUUCUUCCUAUCUCUUUUGUUUUGUAUGCUUCCUUCUGUCGAAAUAGUUGGCAGCCAUAGAAACAUACUUCUAAUCUUUUGUUAUACUUGCUCAUAUAUUGUCAAGAGCAUUGUCCGCAUUUAAACACUAUCAUCAUGCUUCAUAUAUUUCAUAUAUUUGGUGAUGUAUGCUUCAAGCAAUUGUGUGUUGGCUUUGCAGCCAAUGGGCACCACGAGAGAAAUAUGUGGAGGAUAUGUGAUGACACUUGCAUCCGCCUUACAAUGAAGGUGUCCGCACGUGCAGGGAAGCAAGUCUACAAUCUAUAGGAAACAUAUGAUGUAGGAAGGAGUGUAGGCACUAUCAUCGACUUUGAAGCGAAUAAUUUUGUAUCAUGCCUUACAUUUAGUCUAUGGAUGAGUGAAGAAGGAAACGAACUUAUGUUAUAUUGUACAUAAAUUGUUUUUACCAUGGAAACACAUUAUAUUGGAUGGAGGAAACUUUUUUUUGCUCUGGGAAGCAAAGGUUUUCUUGUGUUUGGAACCAAA